rnacentral:rRNA from 1 species
UGGGGAAUCUUGGACAAUGGGGGCAACCCUGAUCCAGCGAUGCCGCGUGAGCGAAGAAGGCCUUAGGGUUGUAAAGCUCUUUCGCCCGCGACGAUGAUGACGGUAGCGGGAGAAGAAGCCCCGGCUAACUCCGUGCCAGCAGCCGCGGUAAUACGGAGGGGGCUAGCGUUGUCCGGAAUUACUGGGCGUAAAGCGCGCGUAGGCGGUCCACCAAGUCGGGGGUGAAAGCCCGGGGCUCAACCCCGGAAUGUCCUCCGAGACUGUUGGACUGGAGUUCGGGAGAGGAGAGCGGAAUUCCCAGUGUAGAGGGGAAAUUCGUAGAUAUUGGGAAGAACACCGGUGGCGAAGGCGGCUCUCUGGCCCGCAACUGACGCUGAGGCGCGAAAGCGUGGGGAGCAAACA